CACCGGCGAUUAGAUCUGGAGCUCUCGUCCCUGGUUCAGGUUGUUCUUUCUCCCGAUCUCCUCCCAUCCUAGAACGUCCAGAAAUCCUAGCAUCGUCCAGCGGAUGCGGCGUUUGCCCAGCGAGCCGCGCGGUGCCGCCGACGAGGAGUCGUCGUCCUUGAUCUCGCCCUCCUCCCUCUCCUCCGGACCCUCCGAUGCGGGCCGCGUCUCCGUGUCCUCGGCCAUGCCCGCUCGCCGCCGCACGCCCCGUCGGCUGCCCGACACCCGCGCGACCCCGCCCGCUGUCAGAGGCCGUCGCCCUCGCCCGCUGCCGGAGACCCCGGCCCACGGCCGCCGCCCCUCGUCCGUUGCGGGAUACUCGCGAGCGCGCCGCCCGCUCGCCUCGUCCACUGCGUCACAGGGCGACAUCCCUCGGCAGCGCCCCGCUCCCCGUGCUGCCCACCGCGAACCCCGGCCAGUGCGCCCUCCCUUGGCGGCGUCUACGUUUGGGCAAAGUCGAGCCAGCGGGCGUCGCCUGGCUCCCCUCCUCCGGGCGGCCAUGGAGGAGCCAUGCACUGCUAAUACGUCGGAUGAUGAAGACGACGGGUGAUCGUGAUGGUGACACCCAGAGCUAGAAGGCCACGAGGAGUUCAAUAUGAGAUGUGUGGGACUUGAUAAAGCUUGGAGAUUAUGUUAGUGCAAGGGACGAUGUCGAUCCCUCUAGGAUAGGGAUUGCUGGUUAAUCACUCGGAGGAAUGCAUGCAUGCUUUGCUGCUUUUGUGGAUACACGGUACAAUGUUGUUCUUCCAAUAAUUGGUGUUCAGGGAUUUCAAUGGGCAGUAGAUAAUGACAUGUGGCAAGCUAGAGUUGAUAGCACUAAGCAUUUAUUUGAAGAAGCAAGAAUUGAUUCAGGGAAGAGUGAAAUAGAUGCAGAGGUUGUGAACAAGGUUUGGGAUAAGAUAGCACCUUCUAUGGCUUAACAGUUUGAUGCUCCCUACUCAGUUCCUCUGAUUGCACCAUGUCCACUCCUCCUAAAUGGUGCUGACGACCCUCAUUGCCCAGUCCUUGGUCUACAAGAACCUGCCUCCAAAGCUGCUGAGGCUUAUGCAGAAGCUAGUUCUGCGGAUAAGUUCAAGAUUUCUUGCAUGGAGAGGAGCGUUGCGAUGACAGCCCCGGAACCUACGCAAUGGUGAUAGCAGCCUCACGAAGAUGGGAGUUAUCCAGGUCGGCUAUUCCUGUGAGAAAUGGAGUCCCAUAAACACUGAUGAACCACAAACCGCUUCCGCCAGCAGCCACUAGAAACCUUGUGUUGUACUCAUAGGCCAGAAU